ensembl:lncRNA
CUUCUCCAGCACGUAAUCCAGUUCUCAUUGAUUUCAAGAGCAGUUGUUUCAUCUGAUCACUAGCUAUUAAAAAGCUUCCAAAGUCAUAAAAAAAUAAAUAAAUAAAAACCUGACGCUCUGCUAGGAAUAAUUUUUGUUUUUCUCGCAGACUGCAACAGUAACAACAAUUAUAUAUAAACAUGCAUAUAUACAUAUUUCCUUUGACUUUUAUAUCUUUAAUCAUCUGGAGUUCUUCAAGCAUUUUAUACAGGUGAGUAAAAAAUAACCUUUGUUUUGCAAGCACAAAGGGGAUACACAGUCGAAGCUGAGAGAAAAAGGAGGAAUAUAAUGAAUUUUCUGCUGAGAUUAAAAAAUAGUAAAAAUAACCUUAUUAUAUGAAACAUGUUCUGGGUUUCUUUGACCAAAGAACACUGUUUACAGCCUUUUCACCCUUUUCCAGCAUCAUGAGUCUCCUUGAAAGAAGGUGUGAACAUAUAUGACAUCCUGAGCUGUAUCCUCAGUGUUAAGCUAGGCAAUUGGUAGAGUAUCAGGCAUGUGUUCUCUCUGUACCAAGAGGAUGAUUUUUAGGGCUAUUGUCUAUAAUAGCCAGUUUCCAAUUCGCAUGCUCUCAUCUGGUGUGCUGGGUGCUGGUACGCACUGCCAGCACUGCCCCCGCUGCCUAUGCCCAGGCUGUGCAGACCAGCAGCAUUCCCAUCCACGGGCAGGCAAAAGUGGACUGCUGAGGCAUGUUACGCGCAGAAGCUCCCCCAUUGGCUUGCACGGGCACCACCAAGCUGUCCCUUGUCAUCUGCCCAUGUGGCUCAUAUGCAGCUCACCACACUGCUAGGCAGAGACUGCUCUUCCACAGCAUGCUGCCAUGGUCCUUCCCCUCCCAAAAUGUGUCCUUGCCCAUGCGGAACUAGUGGUGUCUACAGGGAUGAGGAUAGAUGAUGAACCAGCCAAGUCUGAAGGCAUUAGCUGGUUGAUUAAUGUGGCAGGAUGCUGGUUAGUAUGCAUCUGAUGCUGCUGGAAACACCUGAUUUUUCUGUCAGCGUUAAUGCUUCUUAUUUGAGUGGUGAAUCUUGCUGUGUGCAUGUCUUCCUGAAUCAUUGUAGAAAGUGUUCUCUCCUGUGCAAUGGCUCCCAAAUUUGUAGCUGUUUACACACCGGGGACAGGUGCUCAGAUCUUCUCUGGUCUCCUUUGGCCUAUGUAAAUUUUUUUGGAUGUGAUCUUGUGAUUAAAAAUAAACUUUCAUGUAAGCAGGUUCCUGGGGAAGUAUUUGGCUAUUCUGUAGAAUUACAGUUAAUUCUAAAUAAGGAACACUUUAAAACUAUUAGAAGACAGACAUUCUAGCAGUUCUACAGAUGAUUAAAAAGCCAUUUUCUAAAAUAUUCUCACUGGAGGGUUUUUUUCCUUUCUUAAAGAAAACAUUUAAUUGCUCCAAUCAACCAUAACUACUUCCUGCUUAUGAUGUAAUUUGUAUACGCUGGUCACAAGGUACAUGGCUAUUUUUCAUAAUUCUUUAUGAGUGUAUUCCCUGCAGUUCCUAUCAGUCACCUUUAAUUGACUGUAAUUCACUGGUCAUUAAAGAAGGAGAGACCAAAAUGAGGUGAAAAGAGAAGCACUCAGUGAAACCUUCUUAGCGCCAAAAUCUUAUCUGGCAUUAUCCACAUGUAUACAACAAAACCAAGCAAAAGAAAGCCUUGGAAGCAUAUGCCACCAAUGCAUGUUAACACUUGAGAAGGUAAAUAGCUCAAUUUGAUCUUCAGUGAUCAAGGAGUGGGGCUUCUCUUUGGAUCCUGGGAGAUGCAGAUAAAAAGCACCUGUACCAUGGGGUAAGGGCAGCCAUUCCCUCCACACCACUCCUUGAGGACAUAAUAUAGUAAGUAAUGGUGUCCACAUACUUCAGUGUCUCAUCAACACCCUGUCCAAGCCCUCAGACUUCCUUGAUAAAUUAUCAAGGAAUAAUCUGAGUUGGAAGAGACCCUUAAUGCUCACGUAGUUCAACUCCCCUGCAAUAAACAGGGAUAUCUGCAGCUACAUCAGAUUGCUUCAGCCUGACCUUGAGUGUUUCCAGGGACAGGACAUCCAUGCCAUCCUUACAGUAAAUAGCUUCUUCCCUAUAUCCAGUCUAAAUCUCCCCUCUAUUGGUUUGGAACCAUUUCCCCUUGUCCUGUCACAACAGAUUCUGCUAAGGAGUCUGUCCCUUUCCUUCUUACACUCCCACUUUAGAUACUGAAAGGCCACUAUGAAGUCUCCCCAGAGCCUUCUCUUCUCCAGGCUGAACAGCCUCAGCUCUCUCAGCCUGUGCUCACAGGGGAGGUGUUCCACCCCUUGGAUCAUUUUUGUGGCCCUCCUCUGGAUGCGCUCCAACAGGUCCAUGACUCUCCUGUACUGAGAAUUCCACAUCUUUAUGGAGUGCUCCAGGUGAGGUCUUAGAGGUGGAAAGGAUCAUGUCCCUUGACCUGCUGGCUAUGCUUCUUUUGAUGCAGCCCAGGAUACAGCUGGCUUUCUCGGCUGAGAAGGCACAUUGCUGGCUCAUGUCCAGCUUGCCAUCCACCAGUACCCCCAAGUCUUUCUCAACAGGGCCGUGCUCUAUCUUCUAGUACCUCAGCUUGUAUUUAUAGUGGGGAUUGCCAUGAUCCAGGUGCCGGACCAUGCAUUUGGAUUUGUCGAACCUUAUGAGGUUCACCUGGACCCACUGCUCAAGCCUGUCUAGAUCUCUCUGGAUGGCCUCCCAUCCCUCAGACAUGUUGUUAUCGUGAUGUAUUGGAUGAAUUGUGACUCAGGUGAAUCAGGUUUCCAGGCACUGUACAGCAACUGCCUUUAAAUCCCACAUGUAACAAAUCCAGAAAAAAAUUAUGGUUGUUUUUUUUUUUGGUUUGUUUGUUUUUUAAAUCAUCACUGCAUUAGCCAAGUGCUGUUGUGACCUCAAGUGCUAUCACAAGCAUUUUUUUCAUUAGACAAGGAAACAGGCAAAUGCAAUGAUUUCACCUGGCAACUCAGAUUUAGCGAACAUUGACUGUAAACACACUAAGUUCUAUACUGUAGAGUUGUGUGCAAGGUAGGGCGGUAUGGCUGUCAGCUUGCUAUAUCUUCCUCUCAACAAAAACAACUCGAUUUAAUCAAGAAAACAGAACAUGGCAAGUGAGUGCAGCUUACAGUUUGAUGUUUAUUCAGUAUCAACGAUCUGCAUUAUCUCCUGUCUUGUCCACGGGACCAAACAUUCAGCAGUGUCUUAUCCAUUGUUUUAUGCUUGUUUUAUUGUAGAUUUGUUUCCUUGCUAGAGUAGACCCAGAAAAUACCAGGUGUGUUUUCGGUGAAAUAAUUCUGAAUCAUCUUCUCUUUUUUGAGGGAAUUGUUUUGCCCUAAGGACCAUUGCAGGAACAUUGAGCUUCUGCCCACAGUGGAUCAGCUCAGUAAAUGAACCUCUGGCAUGAUAUCUGGCGCUUCUGAUUCUAUGGGAAAUCAGCUGCCAGUGCUUUAAUUGCUAGGACCACUGUAAGAUUGCAUGCUUUCAAGGAUUCAAAACCCAAAUUUCUCUCAGUGUUUUGAAUUUUCAGACUUUCUGUGAGAGUUUCUGGAAACCAAAAUUUCAGUACGUUUUCCCCAGAGAUCUCACAGAUAUUUUGAAAGACAAAACAUUUUUAUUUGCCUUAAAAUAGACCCCAGGAGCACCUGGCAAGGACUGGUGUUAUAAAAACGAGAAACAACAGAGCAUCUGAAAGCAAAAAGCAGCCUUGGUGCCAGGCAGCAGAGCACUGGCAGUGACUUGUUGGGCUCUCCCAGCUCAUGCUCAUGGUGCCUAGAACAGCUUGGUUAGGCCUUUGAACUAGGAAAAAAGACUUGCUGCUUCCCAGGCUUUUCCAUACAUGCCUAGCCCUGCCACGUUCAGAAUGUGGCCCCUCCUUCUCUUGUAACCUUGAACAGGAAGGGCUCACAGUGUUCACUCCGACACUCCAACCUGUGUUCAUCCUACCAGAGUUCUUUCUGCCUUCCCUACGUGCAGCAACCUGUCUAAUCUCCAGGCAGUUAGUUGAAGAAGCAGUGCCCACGUUUGUGCAGCUGUGAUGGUAGCUGAGCUUCUGCUGACACAAGCAAGACUGUCCGUUUGAGUCACUGUGAGAGACUGACCUCACCCAGGAUGACUUUUACCUUUAACAGCUGGAGGACUCCUUGCUAAUGUGAGACCUGGCCUUUUUUUUUUUCUGCCUUCCAGCUCAACACACCACAGGCUGAUCAUCAAUAAAGGAAGAGGAAAUAAACAAGAGAUCCUAUUAUUAGUCCAUCACCUGCUCUUUCAUUGCUGCAGGGCUGCUCCUUUCUCUGACUGAAAAGUUUUCAAGAUGUUGUAACACAAAACAUUGCAUCCAGAAGGAGAGCAAGGCUAAGGAAAGCAGUAUGUUCCUCUGUAGUCCCUCUUUGCUCUGUAACAGUAAAACCUGACACUUUCUUGUGGUGAAUGACUAAAUAGUACAUUUGUAUAACUACUUAGCAGAACCAUUUUUCUCACUGAAGACCAAAUAAUUCUGCAAUACUUUAACCCCUGCAUUUUGGCUUGAGAUGUAGAAUCCUCAUCAAUCUCCAAACCUUCAUCAACCUUUUCAUCAAACCCUUUGUCCUAUCUACUUCUACCUGGUCUUACCAAAGAAUUCUGCCUUCUUGUUCCUAGUCAUCUCCCUUUCCACACGCCAGUUUAUUUUGGCCUCAUGACAUUUAUGGACACUUACCUGACAAGCAGGAAAAGAGAAUGGGAAAGAAGGAGCAGAAUUUAACACAGUGACAGUUGCUUCUAAAGCAUGAUGGAGUGAACGUCUGACUUUUUGCUGAAAUUAGUGCUAAGAUGCAGUGAAGCCAGGAUUUCAGGUUAAUAGUCUUGAAAGAAGAAUGACAGCCAUGACAUAGAUUUCUUGACUCUUCUCAUACACUUUUGCACCGGACAUGUAAUUUCCUGUUAGGGUUUACAGGAUUCUUCAAAAGAACCAAACAACACCACCACCAACAAAAUAAAACCCCGUAGAAGUAAUAAUUAUUAAUUUAUUAUGUUAAAAGAUUUUUCAUAAAGGAAUACUGGAGUCCUUUAUUCAUGAUUUCACAGUGCCUUUCUCACACUGCAUCUGAAUUAUAUUGCACUGCUUCCAGAAAAUGCAAAGAAAAACUGAAGUGCAGAAAUAAACUCUUAUUUCCACUUUUAUUAGACAAGUUUACAUGGUGAUUCAGUGAAUCUAUAAGAAGGAUGUCAUGCUUCAGGAGACAAGAUAGCAGCAACAUAGGUGUGUUAAGGCCCAUGUGCAGACCUUCAUUGGUCUUAUUGUGACCCAAAGAUAGGGAUUUGGAAUCGAUGGCAGUUUUAAUACUGCCUAAAGUCUCUAUCAGCCUAGAGCUGGGUACAACUCAUGUAGAUGUAUCAUACUUUCUGCCUUCCUUGAGGUCUUUAAGAGAAAGGAAUUAGCAAACAUGCAAUUUAAGAUGGUCUUUGUAUAAAACAAGCUCCAAGGAGAAUCAGAAUCUCUCCUUCCACAGCUAUUUUGUGUCAGACCUAUUUAGUUUCACCUUUAUAGAAAAGAUAAGUCCAGCUAAAUAGCUCACAGUUCUAAUUUUCGUAAGGAAUGAUCCACACAGCUCAAAUAAUAACCUCAGGCACAAAUGGCAGAAAGUGAAGCUUGUUUAUGGAGAGUGGCAAAUCUUUGAGUUGUACAUUCAGAGCUAUUUGUCCACAUAGUAAGAAGCACCAUGUUACUAGAUCAAAGGUGGCAAGGGCACAUCUGCAGUACUUAUAAAAUCCAUAGUAGCAGUAUUUACCAAUAAGAGCCUCCAAAUAUUCCCUGUUUUUGAAUCAGAUUAUGUACUAGAACAGCUGCAACAGACCAAACUGCAUAUCCAGUACCUGCUCAUCACAGCCAGUCUGGCAAAAAGACAAAGAGAACAAAUACAGCAAGCUUAAAUCCUCAAUCUUUGCAUCGUCUGUCAGCAACCAAAGCUGAUGGAAAACUAUGAAGUAAAACCAUCAGAAUAUUUAGCUGUAUUACAGCCAGGGCUGUUCAGCCUGCAGAAGAGAAAUAUCCAGGAAGACCUGAUAGUAGCCUUUCAGUAUCUAAAGGGGAGCAACCUGAUCUGGCUGUAGGUGUCCCUGUUCAUUGCAGGGGGGUUGGACAAGAUGGACUUUAAGGGUCCCUUCCAACUCAAGCAGUUCUGUGGUUGUAUGGACUCUGGUGGCUCGGGCACUCAGAUCUUUCCUUUAUGAGAAUCUCCAAGUAAGUGUUUCAGGAAUGUUCACAGCUACUUGUUUUUUACACUGAUGAGACUGAACAACUCUUAAGCUAAACUGGUGAAAUUCAUCCUGGGAAAAUGUGCUAAACCAAGCUUGCAUUUUAAAGAAAGAAUUUGUUUCCAGAAUGUUACUUGUUGUUUAGUGUAUUGAAUAAUUUUGGUCCCAGGGAUGGAGACAGGGUUUUGUUUAUUUAUCUGAAAAUCAGAAUUUUGCAGAGCUGUGCCAAGCUGUAAACUUUUCAAUUCUCUGAUCCUAGCACUCAGCACAGUGUCCAACAAAAGGCUGUACAAAGCCAGAGACCACUCGGGCUUCGCAGUUGCUGGCUUCAGUCGUCUUUACAAUUGUUUAUGUGAAUGCAGACCCGGGAACAGUGGCAUUAUGCCAGACCUUUCCCAGAAUCGCUGAGGGCUGAUACAGCUUCUCAUAUUAAUCCACCUCUGACAGUGCCACAACUGAGAAAACCCAGAGGGUAGCUGUGCCCUGACAGCAUCCCUCUUGCCAUGCCCUACAACACUGCUGGGGUUCUUACUUGAUGGAAAAAAUGAUUUGGCACAGACAGCCUUUGGUCAUCUGGGGAUGCCUUGCUAAGUCUUCUAUGGAACAGAGAUGUGGCCCUCCAUGAGUUUUUAUUGUAUUUUACUGAUAACAUCAAAUUCAACAAAGAAACACAGAAUAUUACGGCAAGGAAAAAAAGGAGAUGGGUAUAAAACAGCAAUAAAACUGAAAGGAAAUUCAGUUUUAGAAGUUUAAAUGCUUUCACACAGCUUCACUGCAGAGGCUUGACAGUCAAAUAUUAAACAUUACACCAUCUCACUGAAUUUUAUGUCAUUAUGGUAACAAUGUUAUUAAACUUGAUAUGGCUUUACUUUUAAUUUCAAUGAAACAUAUUUCCUGAUCUUUUCAUAAAAAUGACCUUUGGGAACCAUAACAAUCUAGGCAUUUCUUUAUUUAUCCUGCUGCAUCAGCUAAUACUUCCAAUCAGAAUCUAUAUCGAAAAGAAAAUGAAAGCCCUCACCAUAAUGUUGCUAGCUUGAUGUUUUAUUAGAACAAGAUAAAAGCUGGGUUUUAUGAAAUUACUUUGUGUGUUACUGUGAGCAAGACAGUGUCAGUGCAAUCUGCUUUUGUAAAGAUUACUUUAUAGUCUUUUUGUUUCUUUCCUGUAUUUGAUACCUACUUUUUCUGUUUUGAAAAGUUUACUUUUAUAAUACAGCCUUUUCACUAAGUAAAAAAAAAGCAAAUACAUUUGUGUGAUAUCUAAGCAAGCCAUUCUUUUUUUUUUUUUUUUUAAUAACCUUUUCAUGCUUUCCAUGGACAGAACAGCAGUAGUCAUUUCCACUGUUGGUUGAAUUUUAGAGACAGCUGGUGUUGCUGAGAGCCUAUGGGGUCCAUUAGACAACAAGUUGUGCAAGAGUCAGAAAAACUUGAAUCCUGCAUUUAACUCAGUUUUCCCACUGCCCUUCUCUGCACAACACUGUGGAAUUCAUAGAACACAGGAUUUUUUUUACCUCAGUUUUGGGUUAAUGAAAAAAUAAGCCUAAAGGACCUAAAGAACACUGAAAGUAUUGUCUGUACUUAACAGGCUUUGAGAAUGCUCUGAAUAUUUGAAAAUCAAACAGUUCUCUGAGUUGGACCCAGAAAAUGCCAAGUGUCCAAAAAUCACAGGGAACCACUCAAAAUGUGGACUUUGAAAUGCAGGCCAAGCCACAUUGCAAAAGAAAACCACUCUAAUAUUCAUAAAGUGGGGAAAAUGGAAAAUAAUCAGAAAUUCAUCUCAUUUUUGAGAAUAUGUAAAGUGAGAAGAAAAACAUUAAAAAAACAGAAAAGAAAGGAUCCCAUCCAUGCAGCAUUCAGAGUGGAGUUUGGUCAGGAGAAGAAAGGGGAUUACAUUCCACAAGCUGCAUUGCAUUAUGGACUGGAAAUAGCAAUAGAGAAAUAAAGCAAUAAAUGCAUAAAAGUAGGGGAAAAAAGAAACAGUUUUCAGAAUUACUGUAUUAAUUUGGAAUGAAUAUGCACUAGCGAAGUUGCUUUCUAGCUUGUCAGGUGGCAUAAUGACGAGGAACAGUACUGACUCAAAUUCAUGUAUGAUUAUUUCUUUAUUGCAUUCUAGGAUUUAGUGGAAUUUAGGAUAAAGCUAAAUCUCUCUCACAUUUAUGAUAAGAUCAACAAAAUGAAUUCUUACUAGUGUUUCUUUCCACAGUUGCCUUGAAUUGGCUGGGUGAUCACAAAUGUAAAUUACUCUCUUGGAGUUCUGAGUAGAAAACUGAAUCUCUUGAAAGAAGAUGCAAUAGGAAAAAUUCUUCCUUCACAUGUAACAUUUCCAAGAAGCAUGUUUCUCUGUCAGUGUAAUAAAAGGAAGAAUUAGAUCAAUAAUACUUUCCAUAAUUUUUUGACAUCAUCAUUUGAUUUUAGGCCUGGAUCUUCAUUAAUGCAGAAAAUGCUAAUUCAUUUUGUUGACCACAACAUCAUGCUUAAAUUAAAUAUUACUUAGCAACCAGUAUUCAGCUUAUUGCUGGCCUGAGAUCAUUCCGACUGUUAGGUCAAAUGAGGAAUUGGGAGAUCUGCGGUACAUAACAGUGGUAAAUAUUGUCCUGCAGAAAUUUACUUUGAUUUACAUGAAGAUGUGUUAUGAUCGCAGCCUGUUUUUUUUACAAUUGAAGCAUACUGGGAAUAGCCUAGACAAAACGUUUCUCCAUGCAACAGCAGAGACUCAACAGAUUCACAAACUAUUAGCUUGUCAGGUUCACACUUUCCAAUAAAAUGCCAUGGAAAUUUAAGCCAUAUUGUAUAAUAUGGUACAAACAUACCCAGUCUACACCCACUCAAGCACUUCUUAUUAGGCCAAAUCUCCCAACAACACACAAAAAGAUUUUUCAGGAGUUGGGAAUGUUUCAUCAGACCAUACAUGUCUAUGAAUAACAAGCUCAGGUUAAGUUGUCAGGUGUAAUGGGAUUAUAAGCAUCAAAAGCACGGAACGAAGGCAAUAGUGGUACAAGCUCUAAUUUUGCUAUUGCUUGAUAGGAGAUGAAAUUCACCAAAAGAUGUCUUAACCCCAAAGGAAGCAGGUGGCUUUCCUUGAGCCAGAGUGUCAUCCAUUGUUUUCAAGCGGCAGAGGUGACUGAUAGCAUCGUUGACAUGAAAAAUUAAGGUACUUUUUCCUUCAGAAAAGGCUUGUUUUUCAUAAAACAGAAUAACUGGAUGGAAGAAACCCUUUCUGAGGAGUGUUGGGGGUUUGUAAUGCUGCAUUCCUGUCGCUAUGUGGUGCUGUUCGAAGUUAUAAAGCCGAUCCUCUAGAACCUGCCUAUCUCAGGGUGUUAAGGAAAGGUUUGUCAGCAGGAGGUUGGGAUGGCUUCAGCAUGCACCAUCUACAGCAAAACCACCAAAUGCUGACGGUAAGCAGAUAUUUCUACUCUUGGGAAGGCUUUUUCAUGUUAUCUUUGUUAGUUGUGUUCAAGAUAAGGAGAGAGGUGAAGUUUGCUACUCUGUCCUUGGAGGUUUCCGCUCUCUCCAGAGCCUACAUGUUAGGUUUGGUAAGGGAAUUUGAUGUAAGAAGAUUUUAGGUGGAUGCAGCUAUUUUUCUGGAAGUUGAGUUUCUUUGCAGUGGCUACAACAGGCCAGGAAGAAAAAUUGAGAGUUGUAAAGUUUUAAAAUUAAACUUUAUGGUGCACCUUAUUUAAUAUGCUUUUUUUUUGAAAUCUCUUCAAGGGUCAAGGGUAGCUACUACAGCAAAGAGAAAGGAAAGGAAGAGGGAUAUCUGCAGUAUUGCAAACUCCUAUUUGAACUUGAUAAUGUGCUAAAGAACUUGUAUGAGAGUUUGGUUUUGUUUUUCCUUCAAAGGAGACUACUGAAUCUAUGGCAUAUCAAUCUGUAUUCUUUGUCUACUUGAUCACUCUUUGCUUGCUAAUGAGAAACUGAUGAUUUUUGACUUGCCUCUUUGGAUGAAGUGGGGCUGUAUUUGUAAGAGCAAGAAGAAUUUUUCUAGAACAUUUUAAAUCAUAUUGGAGUCAAAACCAUGUGUCCCUAGGCCAUAGCUUGAUACUCUGUCAGCCAAGAGCCAAUGCUGUAUUCAUCCUUAAAACUGAAAUAAGGAAUGGUCCAUAACUGUUGUGAUGUGGGCAUAGUGGCUCUAAGAAUCUGAAGGGAGUUGACCUUUUUCAUACUAAUGUUCCAUUGCUGCUAAUAAAAAAAAAGAAAAGAAAAAAGUGCCCCCCCCCCCCCCUUUUUUUCCCCAGAGAUAGGAAUAGAAAGAAAUAUUACUAAUCCUUUAGUAAGAUCUAUGUAUUCUAGUUGCGGUGAAAUGAGAAAGGUCAAAUUUUCUCUCCCAUCUCUCCCUCCCUUUUUUUUUUCAUAUUGUCCAAGUUCUCACCCAUCUUUGUUGUACUAAUGAAAUUAAGAUAUCCUUCAUGAUAUAACUGUGAGCUAGGGAGAUCUAAAUUACCUUCAUCUGGCAUCAUUCCAGGAUACUAUAAAUGAGGUAAUUGUCCUUGACUAUAAAAUUUGCAUUUUCAAGACUUAAUUGCUAUCAUUACAUCUUUUUGUAAUUCUAUUAAUUUAACUGAAUGGAGCAUUUGGUUUUAUGGUAAAAAUUUGCAUUAAAACAUUGUACAUUUAAAUAGAAUUUUAAUAUUUGCGUCAAAAGCUCAGUACAGUUGUCCCACAGGACCUAAAUAAUUUCACAAGAAGAGAAUUGUAAGCAGUCACACUUUGGGUCAACAAACAGGUUUUCCUUUGGUGAAUAUUAAUAUAACUUGCUGUUAGAGACACUAUGUACUGAAAAUCACUCCUGUCCAAGUUCUGUAAAAGCGUCUGUGAGCUCUGAGCCAUAAUUGCUAACAGGAAAUGUAUUUUAACAGCUACACUGUUUGUUCACAGAAAAGAAAUGUGCCAAAGAGCUCUGUAUUAUUAAGGAAUGGUCUUCCUCUUUUGAGUCCUCCUACCCUAGUUAGGCUGUAUGCUUUGUUAUGGCCUGAGAAAUCACUAAGUAUGCAAGCAAUGCCUUCUGUACGAUCGUCUGUCUGCUCAUAGUUGUCUAGCCAUCUUCCACUGUGCUGUUAAAUGUGGUAAUUGGUUAGUAUGCUGGCAUCUUUUUGGGAAAUAUUUACAACCACCACAGGUUGGUGGCCCUGCCUGCAGCAGAGGGAUUGGAACUUGAUGAUCCUUGGGUGUCCCUUCCAACCCAAGCCAUUUUAUGAUUCCAUGAUUCUGUGAUUUGAAGGAACAGAACUUCAUGUCUGGUCUUUGAAGGUAUUUAAGCCACUAGAUCUCAUGGGAAGCAGAUCGUGUGUGGGUCUGGAGGCCCUGUCUUGGAUGGGCACUGCAGGUAAAAAUGAGUACAUGGAUGUGCUGACAGAAUUCCGUGCUGACAGGAUUCCAUUCUGGUCAGAAAAGCCUAUGCUAUUCUCUAUGCUGUCCUGACAGAUGUUUUAGAGUUGUAUAACAUAUUAUUUGUGGAAGUAAUCAAGCUAGAUUUGUUUUAUAUUUAAUGCAUCUGUAUUUUUUUCUCUUGAGUUUUUUUUCCUGCAACAUGUGAGUAAUAUUUUACAAGAGGGAGUCUGCUUGUGACAGAAAUCUCAUUAACUACUCUUAAUAUAUGUUGUAUUUGCUGGACUUCAUAAUCAUUGUGUAAUUAAGCUUCACAACUCACUUGUGAAGCAGAAAAGAUGAAGGAUGUUUUUGUUAAAAAAAUUUAUGGGAUGUUGAAAUUAAAGACAGAUUUCUGAAAGUGUACAGGUACCACUUCUCACUGAUUUCAGUGCCUAAAUACCUAUGAGAGCAUGAAGAUCUUGCAAAACUGUCUAGUGAGCCAUUAGAACCAGACUAAAUUCUGAACUGGGAGAACAGGAUGAAGUCUUAAUGUGAGAUAAUGACUUUGGAGCAAGGGACACAGUUGUUUUGCCUUUUGCUCUUAAGUCUUGAAUGAGAAUCACAUUUCUUCACUUUGGGGACUGUUUGAUAGUUCAGUGUGUUCUGAGAAUACAUUUUAAAUAUGACUAAUUUAAGAGCAGGUACCCCUCCCUUUUUCUUCUAAGUCCAUUUACAUAUACAGUAUUUCUAUAGAGGUUUUUGUCUCCACUGGAUUCUGAGUUUCACGGACUGGGGAAAAAGGGCUGCUGAGAGCUACAGCUCAGCGUUGAGCCUCCAAAUCCUACAAGCAUUAGAUCUACAAUGCAGUUAGAUUCAGAGCUGUCUUUUUGGGCAUGUGCACAGGGUAAGAAGUCUCCCAGGGUAUCUGUUCUACUCAGAGGCUGUCUUUUCCACUUCAGGGAGGACCCUGUGUAUGUUCUUUCUUAACGGGUGAAUUUCAUUUGAUCUGAACAUUAUGCUAAGGCUGAAUUUCUAGGCAGUUUAUAUUAUAUUGCAUUAGGAAAAACAAACAAACAAAAACGCUUAUUCCUUUGAAAAACCCAGGUCUAGCUGUUAGCGUCAAUUACUUUAAGCACCUACUGAAUUUUCUGGCAUAUAUAUCUCAUCGAAUCUUGGGCGUGAUUUUAUGUGCUUUAAGCAUUUGAUCACAUAAUCAGUUUCUGCAAUGCAACACACAGAAUCCUGAGCAUUGUCCUGGCGGAUAGUCACGUCAAACCUGACACAAACAAACAUAAGGGAACAAUUGUUGUUAAAACACAUUGCAUCACAUUGCAUGUUAAAGCAUUUGCUCUGGUAAUCCACCAUGCUGACGUUUCCCUAUGCUGAUGCCAUCUGAGCAGGGACUGUAUCCUUAAAGUUGACAUGUGCAUCACAUUACAGCAGUGAUUUUGUUAUGUAUCAUUGGCAUAAUGGAUAUUCAGAAGAGAUUCAUAAUCUUGAAAGGUGGCUUGAAUCCACAGAUCUCAUCCAUAUUCUGGUGACUCAGAGCAUUGUGGAAACUCAUUUUAUAACGUCUCACGCUAUCUUGGGCAAAAGCAAAGUAAACAGUUGCCUAGAGCAGCAGACUUGGGAGAAAUGCUGUCCGGGUCUUGUUUCCUACUCCCUCUUUGCUGACGAAGAUAGGAGCAAAAUCUCUUUAACCUGCUUCUCCUGUGCCCCUCCUGCUCCCAUUUCUCCAGUUUAAUUCUGGUGGAAAUCCAGAGGCCUUUUUCUUCCCUCUCCCAGUCUCUUCUUCUCAUUCACUGUUACUCUUAAGUUGCUGAUUUCUCCAGACUCUUCUUCUCCUUGGAGUCUCCACUGCUUCUACUUAGGGUGUUUCAGCAGUGAGAGGAUUCACUGUCCUUUCUGCAUCUUUUUCUACUCCUGCAAAUAUUUGUAUUCCUUUUGGUAGCCUGAGCUAUGUGAGAAACGCACAUUCCUGCACAAAAGUAUUCUGGCUCACUUGCCUAUUGGUAGCUGUUCCUUUAAAAGAGCUUUUUCACACUGGAAAAAAACAGACAGACAUGGAAAUCUUUGCUGUAGUGCUCAUGUUUCAUGAGAUUAAACAAGACAAAAGUAAGAUGAUGUCAGCGUAUUACUGAAUCCCUGGGAAGGUGUGGCCUGUGCUGAUGGCAAUGCUAUUCACACAACAUAGAAGGCAAUUGCAGAGUUCAUUGCCAUGGGAUGUUAUAGAAGCCAAAAGGCAAGGGUGGCAAAUCAUUCCAUAAAUGGCUAUUAAAUGUAAUUAUCUAGAUGCAGUGUCAAGCUCAGGAAACACCUUUAACAGUGGCUGCCAGAAAGCUAUUUGGCUACAUCAGUGCAAGGAUCAUCUUCUCCAUGCUCUGCCCUUGCACUAUCUACAGCACUGACUGUCACUCCCUCUGUUCCUGAGAUGUGAUACUCUGCCAAAUUCACUUUUGGCCAUGUCUGUAUCAUAGGCUUUUGUUCUCAUGAGUUGCAUGACUAAAGAGACUAAUAAUUAGAUCGAAUCCAUUGUCUCUUCAUCCAGAGACUUUUAAGUUUUAACAUACGACCAAGAGUUCCUGCUUUAACAGUACGAAGGUUUGAGCUUUCAGUCUGUAAGUCAGAUGUGCCUAAUGGUUGAGGUGUACUACCGCAGAGUUAGUAAUCUGAAAGUUAACUUAUUUGAAAGAGAAGAGAAACCUACUCCACAUGGCAGUUCCUCCUGUGUGUUGAAAGCUUUCCUUAGCAUGAGAAAAAUUAUCAAGAUUGAGCCUUCUACUUCUCUUAUGACUUUUGUACUUUUGUCCAGUGAGCUUGGUAGCUUUGUCUGCAAAAUGAACAGAGUUCAGAGAGAAAAUGCUAUUUGUUCUUCCAAGCAAGAAAGCAAGUCCUUAGGUGGUAUGCAUGGGUGUUGUUCAUGCAUGUCCUACGUGUCCUUCCUAAUGGAUUUCUUUUUUCUUUGUCUCAAAGCUUUGGAUUGCCUUAACUUGCUGUAUUUGUCCAAUUCCACUUCCUUCUGGCAUACAUGUUAUAUACUCAUUCUUACAACCUGCACCAAAAGAAGCUGCAGAGAUGUGCCACCCUUUUACAGUAACAAAACAGCAACUUUCUUCCUGCAACUUCCUUAAAUCAGCAGAUUGGCAGUUUGAAUUUUCACUUACCAGAGUGAUGACAGAAGUCUGUGGAAGGCUUCUUCCAUGUUGGUAUAUGUACAGCAACUAUAUACAAAAGAGAGCUGCAGAUCUUUCUCUCAUUUGACUCAUUAUUUUUGCCUAAGGAAGUGGAGAACACAUAUGGAGGCAUUUAUAUAUUUAUUUACCUCACUGCCUCAGAUCCCUACUGGCAAUUGAUUGUUAUCAAUACAAUCUCGUGUAGGAAAGCAAGGAACUGUAAUAUGCCAAGUGUGAGGUCAGACAGGAUGAUUUUGCUUUCUACUCUCAAAAUCUUAAUUAGUACAAUACCUCCACUAGCUGUUGGAAUCUCGUUUGGAACAACUAAAAGUAGUGAGGCUGGUGGUGCUUUAGCUGAGAAGGCUUGCAGUGUGGCAAACAUAGCGUUGAUAGCUGAUGAUGUUCUUGCUCUCCAUUUUUAAUGUUGGUCAAAUUGCACUAAAGGAAGCUCUGUGAGCAUAACCGAGGGUAAAAUGUUGGCCUAGUGUUACUGGAGUUUAAUGGCAGAUUGCUAGCACCUUCUGGGUAUGACAAGGAUUUAGGACUACAGAUAUCAAUUGUAGCAGGGCCUUUGCCUGGGGCUCAAGGAGGUAGCCUGGGGAGGUUCAACAGGGGUUCAAGCAGGUAGAGCUGCCGGGAACUUCAGAACAUUACAAUUUUGACAUUCAGUACCUAACUACUCUUUAUUGCUGGGAAACACAUUAUUUCUUCUGUUCAGCUAGAGACUUCAGAAGGGUAGUAUCUCAGAGUGUUCUUUCUUAUCCUGUCCUCUGUUUAAGCAAGUCAAAAUUGGACUCUGUAUCUGUUCUUCUGUUAAAAAAAGUGUAUGUAGAUAUGUAUCUCUGAAAUAAACCUCCAAACAUUUGGAGGCUUGUCCUUCAUUAGCUGUAUAUGGCUUCUCUUCUACUUUCUAAUCUCUUAAACCUUUUACUUAGAAGGAAGAGACAGGGAUUUGUCUGAUAAUAAUUCUAUAGACAGUAAGUUGGACUCUGAUAAACUGAGCAAAGGGCCUCUAGAUGUAAGAGUGUAAUUAAAUGUGUAAAAGAAUUUUCCAUGCUUAUGCUAACCUCUGGAAGCAGGGUGCAAAAAUACAGUCUGCUGAGCAGUGCAAGAUAAGGACAUGAUCACGUACCUCAAACCCAGUGGUCCAUGUGCCUUCUCUCAGAGUCAUGUGUUAGCUCUCAUGUAAAUGAGGUUUAUAUCAGCAACACUACAUAGUGCUCAGUUUGUGGGUUUUGGUGACAGCUGUGUAUCCUGUUUGGUCUCAUCCAUUUCAGUCACACUAAUAGCUUCAAAGGUAUUAAGGUCCUUCUCAGCCCCAAGUGAACUUAAAGUUUUUGAUUUUGUUUGUGUUGAACACAAACAGUAUUGGCGUCUAUGCAGACACUAUGAGUAAAGCUGGAUUGCUCGGGGUGCUAUGCAAGGAUUGACACGUAUGUUUAGCAGGGAGGCAUGCUAAAUGAGAAAACAGAAUUUUUCAGAUCUUUCCAGGUGUGAUCUUUUUUUACCUCUUGAUGAUGAUCUGUAGAGUUGGGUCCUCAAGAGUGAUCUUAAGAUUCACAGAAAUUGUUAGGCUCAAAGAACAUGAAUACAUUUUUUUCUUUCUUUUUCUUUUGCCACUUAAUGUGGAAAUAUUUUUAACAACAAUAACAAAAAACAAUGCCUGUAGAUAUAAUUUUCUUCACAAUCUCUCCUUGUAUCAUUCUGGCUUAACAGACAAGAGAGAAGAUGCAUAUGCUUUUUAAAGCAAACUCGUUAAUUAUUUUAAAUGCAUUUGACUUCUGAAAAGUUCUGAAAGUUCAUUUGAUAUUGUGGUGAAACACCAAGCUAUUACUUGUCUGCUCAUUUGCAACUUAGCCUCACUGCCUCAGUUCUUCCCACCAUGUUUUUCUUCUCUUCCAUCUCUCACAGCGCUCUGUUUAUUAUUCUUCCAGCUUAGUUGUCUUCUUUCCUUAGCCAUCAGUAUGUCAGUUAUACUUAAAUGUCAAAAAGAAAGUAAACAUAAACAUCAGUUAUCAAAAAUUACAUGCUCUGUUUACAUAUUCCUCAACAAAAAGGAUUUUUCCCUCAAUGCAUACAAAACGUGAACCUUAACUAGACACGUGAGUCCAUACUUUCAUUUUCACAUCUGAAAUCUAACGGCUAUGUUGAGUAAUCCACUGUUUACCUGCUAGGCAUGGAGUUCUAACAAUUUAUGAGCAAUACUUAUGAAUCUUUUAAUACUGGAGGUUAUUCAAAUAUAUUUCAAGUACCUUUUUUUUUUUUUUGCAGGAAGAUUUUUUUAGUCUCUCUUCUCCAUACGAAGACUAUAGUAGCAUGUCAGUUACCUGAUCUUUCUGCUUAGUUUUUUCUUUUUUUUUCUCUCCCCAUUCUCUUCCACAUUUUCUUGAUUGCUGAACAAAAUGGUAGGCAUCCCUCCAAAUUAAGAUAUUUUCUCCAUUGGAGAACCAUUGAAGUUCACCUUUAAUUUUGAUACCAUUAAACUUAAUCUUUUCUUUAUUCUUGGAAAAAAUAAUCAAACUUUCACUGAUGUUUGGGAUUUUUUUCACUCUAAUAUCCGAAGGAAGCUGUUAUUUGCAAUCUAGCCUUUUUUCAGCUUAUAAUCAUAUUUUUCUUUUUGGUACAAUUGUAAUGGAUUAUAGACAGCCAUUCUUUUCAUUGGAGGAAAAAAAAAAAACAACGGGUAAAUUGGUUGUUCUCAAGAUUCAUGUUUCUUUGAAUUCAAUAUAAAGCUUUCUCUUUUCAUCUGUUACCUCACAGAGCAUGUGCUGCAAAUGCCCUGAAUAUCUAAUACUUCCUCCUUUUCUUUCUGUUAUGGAACAUUCUUAACUUACUCUUUGUAUUGAAAUAAGUCACCCUCCUUCAGUCAGUGAAUUGACAUACACUGAAUCAAGCAUGACCCCAGCUACAUAUGCCCAUUGAUCUUCCAGUUCCACUUCAGCCUCUGUGCAGAGCUAAGCGCCUGCUGUUGCAGCUGAAGUAGAUGCCUGAGCUCACAAGACUUUAGAAACUUCUUGGUGACUGUUUCAGUGUACCAACAUGGCUCCAUGGAUCAGAUGGUGGGUUGUGUACUGUGUACUGGUUUAGGCUAAUGUUCUCCAUAUAGAUGAUAGGGAGAACAGCUGCUGCCUCGAAAGUCAAAGCAUUUUGCUGUUAGGAUAUCUUCAUGAAGCCAUAUCAGUAUAUUUUUCAUUGUAUGUCCCUGAGAAUAUUUGGGCUCAAGCAGGGUUAGAAGUUGAGUUGCUGAAAUACUGUGGUGAAAGUUGUCAUCAAGCCCUUCCUAGUGUUCAAGCUGUUUUGGUACCUGCUGUCACAAGAUUUUCAAGCUUGUAAACUCAACUCAGACUUAGCCUGAGCUACUCUUUCAGAGAUUUGCAUCUCUCAUAGGCAAUUCUGCUAAAACUGACAGCAGUCUUGCUAAUUUUUGCCAAUCAUGGCAGACUGUUUCAGUGGGUUUUUUUAUACUUAAUAUAAAGAUGGUUGACUGGAUUCCUGUAUGUUCAUUUUUGAAGACACUGAACUUUUUCCCACAAGUAAAAUUACAUAUCUACUUAACUUUCUGUCUAAAAUCUUUCCAGUUAUCUGCAAAUGUGAUUACAUUGCAGCUGUGUGCAUAUACCAAAUUUUGUUCUGCCAGGCCAUAGAAAGCCAUUGUGGUAUCCCACCAUGCUUCAGCCUGCCACUUAAAUACCUAUAGCACAUUCCAGUCUCCUCAGUAGACUUAGUGUGAAGCUGGGCUGCAUUUAUUUUGCAUUUCUUUGCUGGUGUAAGAGGACUGCAGAAUUGAUGAGGAAUGUAUGAAGGUGAGAACAGAACAUGCUGAGCAAUGGUAAUCUCUGGCUGGCCAGUGACCCCUCUGGGUACCGUUAUCAUCCAGUGUAAUUCGGAGCAGCAGUAAUAAUUCAUGUCUGGCUUGGGUAUAGAGGCAGAAGAAAGGGAACACAUGACUUUCUUCUAUGACUUACUGCUCUGUAAAAGGAUUUUAAAGAAUCUUUGGGGAGAAAUUUAGGUCUCAGAUGCACACAUGUGGAUCUCAUUGAUUUCAUAGGAGACCAUGCGAGUGUGUACAUUAACAGACAGAAUAUAGCUUUUGAUCUUUAAGAGCAAUUAAUAUAAAAUAUGGAAUUACACUACUGUGUAAUAGGAUAUUUUUUACUACUUUGUUAAAAGUACUCCCCAAACCCAAAUACAAAACAACGUAACAUCCCAGGCCAAAGUCUUGUAAAGGCAUGUCUCCACCAACACUUGUCACUUUCUGAUGCUGCUUGUGUGUUUGAAUGUUAGGCUUUGAACUUCAGUAAAACAUUUGUAUUUAAUAAAAAACAAGACUUCCUGUCCUCACAUCUGUCCAAGCCGUUGAGUGGCCUUACAGUGGAAGGUGAGAGUUAACUGUUGUGACUCUGCAGGAAUUCUCUUCUGACCCUUUCGUGUCCUUGUGUGAUGUGUUAACAUGCACCCCAAUCACACAAACAUGCAACCAUGGAACACUUAAGAACACAUUUAUGGUUCUGAGACUGCUGGUUACCAAGUACCUAUCACAGCUAAUACCUGAUGGAGGCGAUGAAUUUAAAAAAACACUGUUGGCACAGACCUUGCAAGGAUGUACAUGGCUGGUAAGCUUAGAGGUAAAUAAGUAGAGUCUACACCUUGAAACUAACGUGGUCGCAUCUACCUGUGAAUGGGUAGUAAUAAAAAGCAGUGACCCUCAACUGGAAGCGCUCUUGCUUUCAUUCUGAAUACCUGAAAUGUUCAUUGUAUUGGACUGACAGAUGAAUUCACUGUGAAAUUUGAAGCAGCUUCUGCCUGGAAAGCUUCACACAGAUUUAACCUAAGAAAGGAGGUCCAAAGUGAGCAACAGGCAUUCAAUAAAGCCUGCAACAGACUCUCAGUUGGAGCAGCAAACUCUUCCAACACUUUCUUCAUGAAGUGAAAUAGCACAAUGUGCCUCUCACAGAAGUAGCUUCUAUAAGGUCUUUUCUUGUCUCUUUGUUAACCUGUUGAUUUGUAAAUAAAAGAGAGCCAAUAGGAGUUAUUUUGUCCAAUCUUGGGAAAGUAGGAUUGUUGUCUUGGAACAAGAAUUUACGUGUUUCCAUUUGAAAUAGACUGUGUUCUUCUUCCUUAUACCCUCGCUAUAAAUACAGAAUGCAAUUCUCCUGAAAGGUAUCUAUUGAUCUCUCUGUUUUCUUGGAAAGCCCAUACUUUUGUUCCCGCUUUCCAAUUUAAGUAUCUCAAUCCUUGUCUGAAGUGUUCAAUAGACAUUCACCUUCAGGCACCAGCUGAACCUAGAAAAAUUCAAUCUGAUGUACUAGAUGAAAUUUUGGGAAACUAUGAAUAAAGAAAAACAGAAUAAAAGGGAAAUAUGCAUGCACACUUGCCUAUAGGUGAUACAUCUUAAUCCAUUUCAGUAUCACUCUGUAUCUUACUGUAUUUUUUUUGUGCUAAAGCUCUAAGCCCAAUUGGCUGAUUUUUUUUUUUUUAUGUUGAAUUUCAUAGGUCACCACUGAAGUAGUCACAUUCUGUAAAGAACCAUCUAGCUCAAUGAGUUUUGAUUUUGUUUGUAGUUUUAUUUAGGUGAUUGUAUCAAAUGUCACUUAUUCCAUCUAGGUCUACAUCUAUAAAAAAUUAAUAUUAUUUUUUAUUAAAAAAUUUGCUAUGCAAAAUGGCUUUUUAAACUCCUUCCCUUCAAAGAAAAAUGCUGCCUGUAAAAAUUUGCUGAAAAAAAUGAAGCUCCAGAGAGAUUUAAUAUUAGAAAAAUAUAUAUCCUCUUAUCUAAUGUUCUGUUGGACUACUAGAAAAUGUUCAUUUUGUAGCAAAUUGCUGCAAAUUUAGAAGUGGAGAACAGAAUAUUAUGACUGACUGGUAGAAACGUGUUGGCAUAGCUUGAGACCAUGUAUUACCUUACAACACCCAUCCACUGUCCUCUUUGUAAUUGGAAGGCAGGGCGACAGGUUGCCCAGAGACGUGUUGGAUGCUCCGUUCCUGGAGACGUUCAAGGCCCCGCUGGACCAGACUCUGAGCGACCUGAUCUAGCUGUAGGGGUCCCUGUUCAUAGCAGGGGAGUUGGAAGGGACCUUUAAAGGUCAUCUAGUCCAACUCUAUGGAGCCUAUGAUUAUAUGGCAAGGUAUACCUGCGGUGCUUUGGAGAGAGAACAACCAAAACUAGGAUUAUGCACAAUGUUGUAUUCUAAUGAUCAUUCUUGGAGUAAAAUUCCUGGUAUCUGAGUUCUAUGCUUGCCAAUUACCCUAACUUCUGAUUCAGACAAAUGGAAAUUAAUAAGAUACAACCUUGCAAAGUUUAUUUACUCACAGCAUAUUAAUCUCUUCAUAGUCUAAAUUAUACAGUCUGCAGCAUGAUUUGGCACAUAAACGCGGCAGAAUUAGUUAUUUCACCGAUUCAGUGUACAAUAUUUUUUAGAACACAUAAGAAAACAGUGUUCAAGUAGACUUUGGGGUGUAAAUCUGAACUUGUUAGCUGGAGUUCAGAUGUUCCACCUUGGAAUUAUAUCUCAUUUAACAGAUUAAUUAGAGAGAGAGAUAGUCAGAUGAAACAUUUAAAAAAAAAUAAUAAUUAUCUGUGUUCUAUUGUAUAUAGAAGUGGAGAUAGAAUCUACCCUUAUUCUUUCCCAUCUCCAGGAAGAUUCUAGGUAGUAUUUUGGGUUGGUUCUUUCUUUUAUUCAUAUUAAGAGAAUAAAGUAGAGAAAGCCUCAGGGCAGUGUAAGCCCUGUGGCAGAUUCUCAAAAGUAGUUGCAGAUAGAUAUUUUUUGAAUUUUGUUCCUGGCAUUACAAGUGGGAGAAGAUGCUGAAGGUAGCUUUUCUAAACAUCAAAGGUGCAGAUGAAGUUUACUAUUUUAUUGGAUAUUUAAGUUGGUUGCAGAGUUGUUGUUUUUUUUUUCUUUUUUCCCUGAAAGAUUAGGUCAGCAUAAUUAAAUAUAAGUGUAUAUUAGACAUUUAAAUCUACACCUUCUGGCUGCCUUUAUGCUCAGCAUUCAGUUGGUGCCAAAAGCUUGUUUCAUCUUGGGUUUAUGCAUCUAAAGUUUAUCUAAGUUUGUUUUCUCUGAAGAAGAGCACGUAUGCAUUGGAGUCCAGAAUGCCCUCCACUCUUCUGGGAGCUGUAUUUGCUCCUUGCUGUUUGACAGAGGUAGGAUGAGCCAUUUGUAUCAUCCCCAUAUAUUGAGUGAAUCAGGGAUGUUUGGAUCUGUGGUAAAAAAUAAUGUCAUCCAAUCCCGGUUUUCAUUUUGAUGCUCAAAGAUGACAUCAAAGCUCAAUACUAGGGAGGAAUAUCCUCUUAAUAAGGAAGGGAUGGGGGGGGAGGAGGGGGUGAAGUCAGCCCUUCACUUCUCAGUGAUUGGGAUUCACUGUGUUGUUGCUGGGUGGAAUAGAGUAAUGCUGUUGCUGCUCCUGCUUCUUCACAGUGAUGUUUCUGUUCCAGUUUUUGCUGACUCAUAUUCAGGAAAACAUGAUGCGCAGACACAAUGCACUGUAACUCUUUUUCUUUCCCCCACUAACCUCGGUAAGUAUUCUUUUUUUCCUGUCUAUGACUAGCAUAGUACUAUUAUUGCUCUGCUGAUAGAGUUGGUAGGAGGGGAAAAGGCAACCUUGUAAACAAACUGCUAGCAGACAGAUUAAUCUCAGAGAGGGCAUUUAAAUGAAACCUGCUGUUUGUGGUACAUCCACCUCUUUAGGGCAGAUCAAUCCUGAUAACUCACCCAUCUCUAUGAACUACACUUGCUAGAGCUGUGUUCUUAAAUGGGAGAAGUGCUUACAAUAGCCAUUUACAACUGUAUUCUGUUUAAUUAGUCAGCAAAGCCAGUGCUGCAGGGAUAGAUCACUUUGCUUUAAAGAUUUGAGAAUGUUAAUAGUACAGUAUAUCAUUUUAAUUAUUAUUGGAUGAAUGUUGUGUCUCGAAGAACAUCCAAUGCAAAUCACAAAAAAUGGCCUGAAGUGACCCAAGGGUUGUGCUUUAUUAGAAAAUUAAUAGGUCCAUUGGUUAAAUACAAGGAGAGGUUCUUACUUCAAAUGUCACUCUGCGUAGGUCUGCUGUAUGUGUGCCUGUGUGUAUGUGGAAAUGAAAUCCUCUUGCUUCCACUUUGUCCACAGAAAGUUUCUGUAUUUCGUGCAAUAAAUGGCUGAGGAAACAUGUGCAGUAAUAAGAGAUGAAGAGGAGACCCAGAAAAACUCUGAUGAAGACCCAUUUCAUGAUGCUGAAACAGCAUUGCCUGAUUGCUAUGCUGGCCUUAGUGAAGGCAACAGAAGCUCAGAGGUGCCAGAAAGACUGUCUGUCCUCUCUAGCAAGGCUGUGGCCCAAGCAAAAGCACUUGCUGGACCAUCAGCGGUCAUCAGUGGCAGCCAGGCACAGAGCAAGGCAUCUGCCUUGGCCAAGCACCACCUGAUGGCUGUCAGUGCAUCAGCAGGAGACUUGUCCUGCUCUACAACAAUCUGUAAACCCAAGCCCAGGGGCCUUGCCUCACCGUGCUCUGAAAGUGUCUACUGUAGCUGUGACCAGGAUUCAGAAGCAUCAUGUGUCCCUGGGAUGCCUGACGGGGCUGGUAAGCCCCCCAGGGCAGUCGUGGCCCUGUUGGUGAACAACCUCAGGUGCUGCCAUGUGCCAGCUGAUAGCGCACGGCCUGUGGAGAGCUGCACUGAGGGCAACCCUUGCAGUCUGGGCUCAGCCAUCUGGAUGAAGACCACAACAGUAAUGGAGACCCUAGAAAAUAAGAAAAAGGAGGAAAAGGAGAAGUAUCGGCUCCAGCUAGCAAUGUACCGAAGACUCCUGCUGUUGCGUUCGAUCAGGAGCUUGCACAAGCAGCUGGAGCAGCAGCAGGCCAGGUUACAGGAAUGCUAUGGCAUAGUCAUAAAUACCAAGAAAGAAGUGUUAAAGCACAUUCGUUCAACCUUGCCCUCUCCUUCUCCAUAAUCAUGUUGCUGCAUGCAGAAAUGAGCUUUGUAAUGCCACUGGAGCCGUCAGCAAGCUUGCAUGCCAUGAGAUGGUUUCUUCCAAGCCAAGAGAAUGUGCCCACGUGUGCCGAGAGCAAAGAGGAAAUGGAAACAGCAGAGCGAGAAGAAAGAGGAAGGCAAAGCGUUGGCCCCUGAAUUUGUCUGCAGGGAGCUGGAAUAAGAUUAUAUCUGUGCAAUACCGUAAUGCUUGAUGUGCACUCAAGGCUUCAAGCUUGUGUAUGACAUGAAAUUGAAAAAAAAAAAAAAAAAAAGAUGGAAAAAACCUGAGAACAUAGUCUGAUGUGAUCAUCAUGUGACUUAGUGCUAAUAGAAUGAACAGAAUUAGGGUUCAGUUCUCUUCAAGAACCUAGCAAGUCAGGAUAUUAGGAGCACUUAAACUCAGGCUUGAUGAUGUCCACCCAGCUGCCUGCUUUUCAGAAAACCGCUUAGGCUAUUGCCUGUUUGUGACCUCUACCCUCCCACAAAAAAUUGUAUUCAUAUUGACCAGAAGUCUUUCUGGAAGGUCAAACAGUCAAACACACGUACAGAGGAACCUUGCAAUUGCCUGAGCCCUAUUAGGAAGGCAAGCUAAAAGCAAAGGCCUCAUAAUCUGGCAUUGUGUUGGAAGCCCAGACUGUCAGUGCCAGGGGAAUGUUUGAGGUCUGCACAAUUAUUAAUCUGCUGCUAACUCCCAGUGGCACUAGCGUCUGCAAAUCAAGCACAUUUUGUGCCUUACUGCUGUCAUUUAAUGGAAGUUGGUGACAAUUAGCACUUUUUAUCCAGGUGUAUUAUAUGCCUGGAAAACCCUAGAGCAAUUUCUUCAAUUGCUAGGUUAGGAUGCCUGCAGGAAAUCUGAUGUCAGUAAGCAACAAACAAACAUACAGAAAAAUAAAGAAAAAAGAUGCAACUUCUUUUUAUGCAUUAAAAAGCCAGUCUGGGUCCCUAUUAUCGAACAGCAAAUUGAAUUGUUGAAUGUGCUGUCUUAGAGUCUGAAGCAAAAAUUAUUUGAGAAGAUAUUGAAAGGCUCCCCUUUCUGGGACUUAGAGUGGCAUAGAAAAAUCUUUUUUUCUUUUCUUUUUUCUUCAGGUACCCAUUUCUGAUGAUGCCACCUUUUCUUUUGCCCUGUUGUUCUUUGUUACAAAUGUGUAAGUAGAUAAGCAAUCAGACAAGUUUUUGGCAUGGAUUUAUUUGGUUUUGGUUUUUUUUUUUUUCUUUUUUUUGCAUGAAAAUGCAAAUCUGUUACUAGAAGUCCUAUCUUUCUCAGAGUAGUGUUCUGUAUGUGGGAAUUUUUUUGCCUUGGCUUUUUCGUGUGCUCAUAGAGGGAAGAUGUCUGUGUUUGUGUGCACACACAUGCACUUAUGUACAAAUGAUCCUAAAAGGCUGGCACUUCUUUUUCUGUAGUAAAAACAGGAAUAAUCUCUCAAAAUAAUCUUUGCUGUCUUAGAGGAGUUGCUUGAUUAGAUUCACAUGAGCACAUCUGUGAGCAAGGUAUUGAAGUAAUUUAACAAUUGAAGUGCAGCACAACAUUGUUAUUAUUCCAUCUUUGUAUUUCCUUGCACCCAAAAUAAUGGAAGCCCCCUGGGUAUGCACAACCUUAGAUAGGCUUAUUCAUCUCCUUGGGCCCUUGCACAGCCUCUUACACAGCACGAGCCUGUAAUUUUGUAUGCAGAAUUACCAUAGAAACAUUCUUGGCAUCAAGGAGAUAUUUGAAGGAGCAUCCUGUACUGUCUCAUAUGGGGGAUUUGGGUUGCCGGCAGCUGUCAGUGGGCUGCCGAAGAUAGAGCUGGGGAUCUAUGUGACUGGAGGACACUACUCCUAUGCCCGGAUCUCACCCAGCUUUGUUCAGCCUUGGGAAAGCUGUUCAUAGCCAGUAAUGCGCGUUUACCAAAGAACACUAAACUCACCUCAAAAGUAAUCUGUUCUAUCUUAAUAUGCCUCCUAGAAAGGAAGAACAAUCAUGGCUAAGAGGACUAUGCAAAGAUUUGAUUUUUUUUAAUUACUCUCUCU